rnacentral:rRNA from 1 species
CCUACGGGUGGCAGCAGUGGGGAAUAUUGCGCAAUGGGCGAAAGCCUGACGCAGCGACGCCGCGUGAGGGAUGAAGGUCUUCGGAUCGUAAACCUCUGUCAGCAGGGAAGAACGGUCACUGUGCUAAUCAGCAGUGAAUUGACGGUACCUGACUAAGAAGCCCCGGCUAACUACGUGCCAGCAGCCGCGGUAAUACGUAGGGGGCAAGCGUUAUCCGGAUUUACUGGGUGUAAAGGGGGCGCAGACGGCGAUGCAAGCCAGGAGUGAAAGCCCGGGGCCCAACCCCGGGACUGCUCUUGGAACUGCGUGGCUGGAGUGCAGGAGGGGCAGGCGGAAUUCCUGGUGUAGCGGUGAAAUGCGUAGAUAUCAGGAGGAACACCGGUGGCGAAGGCGGCCUGCUGGACUGCAACUGACGUUGAGGCCCGAAAGCGUGGGGAGCAAACAGGAUUAGAUACCCUUGUAGUC